rnacentral:rRNA from 1 species
AUGAACGCUAGCGGCAGGCUUAACACAUGCAAGUCGAGGGGCAGCGGGGAGUAGCAAUACUCCGCCGGCGACCGGCGCACGGGUGCGUAACGCGUAUGCAACCUACCUUUAACAGGGGCAUAACACUGAGAAAUUGGUACUAAUUCCCCAUAACAUUCGAGAAGGCAUCUUCUUGGGUUAAAAACUCCGGUGGUUAAAGAUGGGCAUGCGUUGUAUUAGCUAGUUGGUGAGGUAACGGCUCACCAAGGCGACGAUACAUAGGGGGACUGAGAGGUUAACCCCCCACAUUGGUACUGAGACACGGACCAAACUCCUACGGGAGGCAGCAGUGAGGAAUAUUGGUCAAUGGACGCAAGUCUGAACCAGCCAUGCCGCGUGCAGGAAGACGGCUCUAUGAGUUGUAAACUGCUUUUGUACUAGGGUAAACGCUCUUACGUGUAGGAGCCUGAAAGUAUAGUACGAAUAAGGAUCGGCUAACUCCGUGCCAGCAGCCGCGGUAAUACGGAGGAUCCAAGCGUUAUCCGGAUUUAUUGGGUUUAAAGGGUGCGUAGGCGGUUUGAUAAGUUAGAGGUGAAAUACCGGGGCUCAACUCCGGAACUGCCUCUAAUACUGUUGAACUAGAGAGUAGUUGCGGUAGGCGGAAUGUAUGGUGUAGCGGUGAAAUGCUUAGAGAUCAUACAGAACACCGAUUGCGAAGGCAGCUUACCAAACUAUAUCUGACGUUGAGGCACGAAAGCGUGGGGAGCAAACAGGAUUAGAUACCCUGGUAGUCCACGCAGUAAACGAUGAUAACUCGUUGUCGGCGAUACACAGUCGGUGACUAAGCGAAAGCGAUAAGUUAUCCACCUGGGGAGUACGUUCGCAAGAAUGAAACUCAAAGGAAUUGACGGGGGCCCGCACAAGCAGCGGAGCAUGUGGUUUAAUUCGACGCAACGCGAAGAACCUUACCAGGUCUUGACAUCCACUUAAACUUACAGAGAUGUAAGGUGUGCUUGCACAAAGUGAGACAGGUGGUGCAUGGUUGUCGUCAGCUCGUGUCGUGAGAUGUUGGGUUAAGUCCCGCAACGAGCGCAACCCCUGUUUCCAGUUGCCAGCACAUAAAGGUGGGGACUCUGGAGAGACUGCCGGUGAUAAAUCGGAGGAAGGUGGGGACGACGUCAAAUCAUCAUGCCCUUUAUGUCCUGGGCUACACACGUACUACAAUGGCUGUAACAGAGGGAAGCGAACCAGUGAUGGUAAGCGAAACCCGAAAAGCAGUCACAGUUCGGAUUGAAGGCUGAAACUCGCCUUCAUGAAGCCGGAAUUGCUAGUAAUGGCAGGUCAGCAUACUGCCGUGAAUACGUUCCCGGGCCUUGUACACACCGCCCGUCACACCAUGAGAGUUGGGAAUACCCGAAGCCUGUAAGCUAACGCAAGAGGCAGCAGUCGAAGGUAGAAUCAAUGAUUGGGGUG